CCUACGGGCGACUGCAGUGGGGGAUAUUGCACAAUGGGGGGAACCCUGAUGCAGCGACGCCGCGUGGGUGAAGGAGUGCUUCGGCAUGUAAAGCCCUAUCGGCAGGGAAGAAGCAAGACGGUACCUGACUAAGAAGCCCCGGCUAACUACGUGCCAGCAGCCGCGGUAAUACGUAGGGGGCGAGCGUUAUCCGGAUUCACUGGGUGUAAAGGGAGCGUAGACGGCCAUGCAAGCCAGGGGUGAAAGCCCGGGGCCCAACCCCGGGACUGCCCUUGGAACUGCAUGGCUGGAGUGCGGGAGGGGCAGGCGGAAUUCCUGGUGUAGCGGUGAAAUGCGUAGAUAUCAGGAGGAACACCGGCGGCGAAGGCGGCCUGCUGGACCGCGACUGACGUUGAGGCUCGAAAGCGUGGGGAGUGAACAGGAUUAGAUACCCCAGUAGUC
rnacentral:rRNA from 1 species